rnacentral:rRNA from 1 species
GACGAACGCUGGCGGCGUGCUUAACACAUGCAAGUCGAACGGAAAGGCCUCUGCUUGCAGGGGUGCUCGAGUGGCGAACGGGUGAGUAACACGUGGGUGAUCUGCCUUGUACUCUGGGAUAAGCUUGGGAAACUGGGUCUAAUACCGGAUAGGAACUGCCUUUAGUGUGGUGGUUGGAAAGUUUUUUCGGUGCAAGAUGAGCUCGCGGCCUAUCAGCUUGUUGGUGGGGUAAUGGCCUACCAAGGCGUCGACGGGUAGCCGGCCUGAGAGGGUGUACGGCCACAUUGGGACUGAGAUACGGCCCAGACUCCUACGGGAGGCAGCAGUGGGGAAUAUUGCACAAUGGGCGGAAGCCUGAUGCAGCGACGCCGCGUGGGGGAUGACGGCCUUCGGGUUGUAAACUCCUUUCGACAGGGACGAAGCUUUUUGUGACGGUACCUGUAUAAGAAGCACCGGCUAACUACGUGCCAGCAGCCGCGGUAAUACGUAGGGUGCGAGCGUUGUCCGGAAUUACUGGGCGUAAAGAGCUCGUAGGUGGUUUGUCGCGUCGUCUGUGAAAUUCCGGGGCUUAACUCCGGGCGUGCAGGCGAUACGGGCAUAACUUGAGUGCUGUAGGGGAGACUGGAAUUCCUGGUGUAGCGGUGAAAUGCGCAGAUAU